UUGACAGCCUCGGAAACUAAAGCAUCAGUACAUAUUUUCUCAGACUAUUUCAGUAGUAUGCUUUAUCCCUGACCUGGAAAAGCCACCUCUGUGUGUGAGAGGAUAGUUCAUUCUCCAUAGCUCAUUCAGUCCUUGUCCUUU
ensembl:misc_RNA